rnacentral:misc_RNA from 1 species
AAAGUCGUAACAAGGUUUCCGUAGGUGAACCUGCGGAAGGAUCAAUACGAGAGGGAGGGGGAGAUUGGUUGAACAUGAUGAUGUAUUUGAUUGACGCAGUACGACAGACUUGUACAACUCAUAACAAUGGAUCUCUGGGCUCUU